rnacentral:rRNA from 1 species
AACGAACGCUGGCGGCAUGCCUAACACAUGCAAGUCGAACGAGACCUUUGGGUCUAGUGGCGCACGGGUGCGGAACGCGUGGGAAUCUGCCCUUGGGUUCGGAAUAACUGUGAGAAAUUGCUGCUAAUACCGGACGAUGUCUUCUGACCAAAGAUUUAUCGCCCAGGGAUGAGCACGCGUAGGAUUAGCUAGUUGGUUGGGUAAUGGCCUCCCAAGGCGACGAUCCUUAGCUGGUCUGAGAGGAUGAUCAGCCACACUUGGACUGAGACACGGCCCGGAAUCCUCCGCGAGGCAGCAGUGGCGGAUAUUGGAACAUGGGCGCAAGCCUGAUCCAGCAAUGCCGCGUGAGUGAUGAAGGCCUUAGGGUUGUAAAGCUCUUUUACCAGGGAUGAUAAUGACAGUACCUGGAGAAUAAGCUCCGGCUAACUCCGUG